UUUUUUUUUUUUUUUUUUUUUUUUUUUUUUUUUUUUUUUUUUUUUUUUAUUUUUNNNNNNNNNNNNNNNNNNNNNNNNNNNNNNNNNNNNNNNNNNNNNNNNNNNNNNNNNNNNNNNNNNNNNNNNNNNNNNNNNNNNNNNNNNNNNNNNNNNNNNNNNNNNNNNNNNNNNNNNNNNNNNNNNNNNNNNNNNNNNNNNNNNNNNNNNNNNNNNNNNNNNNNNNNNNNNNNNNNNNUUUUUUUUUUUUUUUUUUUUUUUUUUUUUUUUUUUUUUUUUUCUGUUCUGACAUUCGCGUUUGUCAUUUCGGCCUUUGGGGCAAAGGAUAACGUGCAGAGAGAGCAAUGCAUUGUGCCUGCAUCAUCUGUUUAACGGUAUGGACGUUUGACGGUAGUCAAGGGCGGCACGACCACGUUUUCAUUUGCAUUUCGAGUUGCAAUGCUAGGGAACAUGACGAUAUAAAUCAUAAAUUUAUUUGUAUUUAAUAACUAAUUCCAAUUAUGUAUGUCUUCUCUCGUCUGAGAAGUUUUUCGUCUUGCUUGUUAGCAAGUCUUUUUUAUUCCGAGAACGGAGGAUUACAAUAUUUCCGUCGAUAUGGCUAAUCUCUCCGUCAACGGCGAUAGCCAUGAGGGUAUUGUUUUUAAGGCUGAUGAGAUUAGUAAAGAGGAGGAGGAGGAAACUAACCCUAAUAUUUGUUUGGUGGGUCGCUUUAUAUCAAACAGACCCAUCAAUUUUAUGGCUAUGGAAUUGACAUUAGCUUCAUUAAUGAAACUAGUCGUGGGGAUGUUGAUCAGGGAGUUAAAAGGGGGGAAUCUACACCUUUCAGUUAUACUGCAAAAUUGAUAUGGAGAGAGCCCUUGAUAUGUGCCCGUGGUUGUUCAACAAUCAAAUUCUUAUCAUGGAUAGCAUGGAGGGGUUUACCCAUCCAUGAGGUACCGUUGAAUGGAUUGUAUUUGUGGAUUCACUUGUAUGGUUUACGCCCUAGAUACAAGUCAGAUUAUGUUUUAGAAAGGUUAGCGAAUGGGAUAUUUGUGAAGACUGACCCUGAGAAUUUCACAAAGAAGAGAGACUAUCUUUGAGUUCAUGUUAAAUGGGAUAUUAAUAACUCAUUCGUGAAACAUUGAAGUUGAGGAAGGAGGACAAUUCGGACUGGUUUUGGGUCAACCUCGAAUAUGAACGAAUUCCUGGAUUUUGCUUUAUUUGUGGUAUAAUAGGACAUAGUGAGAAAUUUUGUCUUUUUCCGGUGUUGAUUGAUGGUGCUCCAAUGAUUAGGAAGUUGGUCCCCAUUUAAGAGCUAAUCCACGACGUCCACAGUUAUCAACAUAGGCAAAAUGGCUUCGUGAUGAAGGCUAUGUCGGACACGGCGGCGCUCAUGGAAGUGGUUGUCGGAGCCCAGGGGUACGACGGCACAGUUUUGGAGAGCCCAUGAUGGGUGCGAUGCAGCCUCCUAAUUUUUCGAAACAAACCUCAAAUUUGGGCGAGAAUGUGGGAGUUGAUAAGGAAGGAGAUAAUGCAACGAUUGUGAAUGAGAAGUUGGACUCAAGUGUAGCAAAUGGUAUCUUAUUGAAUGAUCCGAAGAGAAGAAGAAUGGGCCAAAAGGAGGAGAGUACUAAGGCCCAAGAUAUCAAUACAGAAAAUGGGUCUACAAAGGACCUAAAAAAUGGGUCUUUCAAGGAUCCAAAAAACGGGAAAGCGGCGGGUUCCAGUACUCAAGCCCGCCGACAGAAAUUAGUCUGUUAAGUUGGAACUACCGAGGGCUCAGCAACACCAAGGCAAUUUAGAAUUUGCAGCAGCUAGUUUGUGAAAAGCGUCCUAAUUUUAUUUUUCUUGUUGAGACAAUUUGUAAUUCAAAUAAAGUUAAUGAAAUAAAGUCUUUAUUAGACUAUGAUGAUUUUUAUUCAAUUGAUAGUAAUGGUCAUAGUGGCGGACAGGCUUUUUUAUGGAAGGGGGUUAGCAGUGUAAAUAUAUUGGGUUCUUCUCCUCAUUUUAUUGAUGUGAAAGUUGAUGUUCAGGGGUUGGAGCCUUGGCGUUUAACAGGCUUUUAUGGGCAGGCUAAUAGAAAUAGAAGGCAUGAGACUUAUGAGUUGUUUGGUGACCUUGCUUUGGUUUCUACUCUCCCAUGGGUUUGCAUUUGGGACUUUAAUGAUAUCCUGUAUAAUUCUGAGAAGAGAGGUGGUCUUCCACAGUUGGCAAAUUUACUCCAUGGGUUCCAAAAUGCUAUUAUGAGAACUGGUCUCUUAGACUUGAAGUUAGACGGGUACCAGUUCACUUGGGCCAAUGGUCGGGUAGGGGCUGAUCAUGUGGAAGCUAAGCUUGACUGAUGUUUCAUUUCUAAGGGAUGGAGGAAUUUUUUCCAUAUGUCGAAAGGGAUGGUCCUUGACUUAACUACUUUUGACCAUUUACCUUUAUUUAUCCAAGUUCAAGUUUAUGUUCCCAGCCAGAGAGUGCAUUUGUUUCGUUAUCAAAACCAUUGGUUUAGGGAGCUAGAAUGUCGUCAAGUGGUCGAGGAUUUUUGGAGGCUCCAUGGGGAUGCUAAUCUAAUUGAGAAACUUACGGUUUGUAGUAUAUCUCUUGAUGAGUGGGGGCAGAAUUAUCGACGCAAUUUUAAAGUGGAGUUGGAUGAGUGCAGACAAAAAUUGAAGCAAUUAAGAGGUAGGAGAUCACAGUCAGAUCGUCGAAAUUUUCUACAUGUAACAUCCCUUCCCCGUCCACCCAAUAACCCAAAUGAACCGAGCCGAGACGCUAUAAUCUGGUUGAACUUAUGUCCUGUCAUGCUGAUAUCAUCCUGUAUGCUAAAUAUGAAUACAAAACACUCCCAAUUAAACUCCAAACUUCCAACAUCUCCAAAUAAUCAUUAUAACACAAUAACACUUUAUAUAUUUUCAUAACUGUAUCAAUCCUCAAUAGCAUUUAAUAUCCAGCAAUUAAUUGCAUUCAUUAUAUAUAUCAAGUCUUCAUGAACUAAUCAUAUCAAUUAUGUUAAAAUAUUUCAUAUUCACUCAUUUCAUCAGUAGUAUUCUUAUCUCCAAAUACUGACGCCAAAAUAAUUACAUGCUUCAAUUAUAUUUCCAAGUACAUAAGCUCUAAAGAAAAAUGUAAUAAUUAUACAUGCCAUAAUUCUUAAUUAUACAACUCUCAAUCUACUAAGACCAAAUUAGUCACUUCUGCUUUGAUAGUACUCUUCAAGUCUUCAAGUAGCAACCACGAUCUUCAACCUACGCGUGAUAAAAAUCGACGCGCUGAGUAUAAAACUCAGUGGUGCUCAUAAUUCACAUACUUAACAAAGUGCGAUGGCAACUUACUUAAAAUACAAAUUUCAUAAAAUCAUUGAUAAUCUUAGAAGCAUUAAAGUUCAACAUAAAUGUAUCUUUAUAGUGAAGAAUAAACUUCUAAUUCAUAACAUAAAUAAUUGAGUUCUAAUUAUCUCAUAACUCCUUUACAUGAACAUUUAAUCACACAUAUCAUGAUACUAUUAUGAUCUUACCUGCUGUUCAUUAUGCUGUAUGAAUAAAAUCAAUAAACAUGUAAGAACACAUAACAGUAUAUUUUCAUUGUCUUACUUGCUGUUCAUUAUGUUGUAUGACAUAUGCACUUUUUAGUCACAUCAUAUAAGUUAUGAUUAAUAAAAUCUCAUAACUGUAUGGCUCCAUAAGAACUAAAUAAAUAAACUAGUAAGCACACAUAACAUUAUACUUAUAUGAUCGUACCUGAUGUUCCUUAUGCUGUAUGAAUUUUGUAACUUUUAUUACAACUCAGUGAAUAUCGCAACGAAUAAAGAAACAAGUAAGCACAUACAUAUGUAUAAAUAAACAUGUAAUCACAUAUGGAAUGUAAGCACACAUAUCAUGAUACUUUCAUUANNNNNNNNNNNNNNNNNNNNNNNNNNNNNNNNNNNNNNNNNNNNNNNNNNNNNNNNNNNNNNNNNNNNNNNNNNNNNNNNNNNNNNNNNNNNNNNNNNNNNNNNNNNNNNNNNNNNNNNNNNNNNNNNNNNNNNNNNNNNNNNNNNNNNNNNNNNNNNNNNNNNNNNNNNNNNNNNNNNNNNNNNNNNNNNNNNNNNNNNNNNNNNNNNNNNNNNNNNNNNNNNNNNNNNNNNNNNNNNNNNNNNNNNNNNNNNNNNNNNNNNNNNNNNNNNNNNNNNNNNNNNNNNNNNNNNNNNNNNNNNNNNNNNNNNNNNNNNNNNNNNNNNNNNNNNNNNNNNNNNNNNNNNNNNNNNNNNNNNNNNNNNNNNNNNNNNNNNNNNNNNNNNNNNNNNNNNNNNNNNNNNNNNNNNNNNNNNNNNNNNNNNNNNNNNNUUAACAUGAUUGGAGGCAUACAAGUUGAGCAAAGGAAUACAAUUGCAUAGAAAAAGAGGUCCAAAAGAGCAUCAAAACACAAGUCGCUAGCGCGAGAAGCACAUAUGAGGGUCAGUGAGUUUACAGGCAAGAUUCGCGAGCGCGCAAUGAAAUUCGCGAGCGCGAGAAGCACGAAAUGAGAGUUAGAGAGUUUCCAGGCACAAUUCGCGAGCUCGACAUGAAAUUCGCGAGCACGCGUCUUGUUUUCCAGCCUACGCAGUGUGUACUAUUUUGGUCAUAUCUCUCAAUUUAUAACUCCGAUUUGGGUGAUUCAAAAACCCAUUGAAAGCUAACACAUAGAGGAACAAAUAACUCUUCUAUGNNNNNNNNNNNNNNNNNNNNNNNNNNNNNNNNNNNNNNNNNNNNNNNNNNNNNNNNNNNNNNNNNNNNNNNNNNNNNNNNNNNNNNNNNNNNNNNNNNNNNNNNNNNNNNNNNNNNNNNNNNNNNNNNNNNNNNNNNNNNNNNNNNNNNNNNNNNNNNNNNNNNNNNNNNNNNNNNNNNNNNNNNNNNNNNNNNNNNNNNNNNNNNNNNNNNNNNNNNNNNNNNNNNNNNNNNNNNNNNNNNNNNNNNNNNNNNNNNNNNNNNNNNNNNNNNNNNNNNNNNNNNNNNNNNNNNNNNNNNNNNNNNNNNNNNNNNNNNNNNNNAAUAUCACCAAAUGAUUCAAGUAUGAAAUUCAAGAAGGUUUACUUACUUGGAUAGAAUAGAAGUUGAAGUUAAGGCUUAACUACCAUUAAAAUCUUCACUACCAUUAAAAUUGAUGGAGAAAGGAAAGUGGAAGAGGAAAGUAGAGGAAGAAGAUGAAGAUAAAGAUGAAGAAGAGAAAAUGAAAUGGAAGUCUCGGGUACAUCUCCAAAAUAUCAAUGAUUUUUAUGAAAAAAAUUACCAAAUGGUACCUCAAGUGUCAAUAUGUUACAUCUAAUACCUAAGCUUUAUCUUUUAGUGCAAGCAAGUCCUAAUCCUUAUACUUUGAUCUUUUUGCUUCCUUCAAGUAAGUCUACUUCUUUUCAGUUACAUCCCAUUCUACUCACUCUGGACUCUAAUGGCUCGAACCGGGUUUUGGAUCAGCCCUACUCACCGAUGUCACAACUUACUAUUGCAGACAUAGAAAAAUGGGACGUUACAGUUCUACCCCCCUUAAAGAAUUUCGUUCGCAAAAUUCACUUGCAUUCAACACUUACAAAUCUCAUACCUAAGCUUUAUCUUUUAGUGCAAGCAAGUCCUAAUCCUUAUACUUUGAUCUUUUUGCUUCCUUCAAGUAAGUCCACUUCUUUUCGGUUACAUCCCAUUCUACCCCACUCUGGACUCUAAUGGCUCGAACCAGGUUUUGGAUCAGCCCGACUCACUGAUGUCAUAACUUACUAUUGUAGACAUAGAAAAAUGGGACGUUACACUGCAGGCCAGGGCAAGGCUCGCUGAAAUAUAUGUGCAAUGUGAGCUAUUCUGGAAACAAAAGGCAAAGGAAGAAUGGCUGCAAGGGGGUAAUCGAAACACACAUUUUUUUCAUGUUAAGGCGUCUGUCAGACAAAAGAGAAAUCGAAUUAAGUAGCUGAAAGAUAUGAAUGGGGAGUGGAAGAAUUGGGACCCAUGGCUUAGUGAGGUGAUCUUGAAUUAUUUUGUGGAGUUAUACUCGGCACAUGCAUGUUCUCCAGAUAAUAUUCUCAGCCUAGUUCCUCGAUGUGUUUCUGAGGAUGAUAAUAAGUUGCUUGAGGAACCUUUUCGGUAGAAGAAGUGAAGUAGGCCGUUUUUAGCAUGGGUUGCAACAAAUCUCCGAGCUACGAUGGUUUGAACCUAGGGUUUUAUCAGUGGUAUUGGAGUAUUAUUGGAGAUGAUGUGAUGACCUUUUGUAUUGCUUGUGCGAAUUCAGGUACGUUUCCUACCGAAUUGAAUGAAACAGUGUUGGUUUUAAUUCUAAAAAAGCAAAUUCCUGAGUUUAUGGUUGAUUUACACCCAAUUGCUUUGUGCCAAGUGCUUUACAAGAUCAUAACAAAGAUGUAUGCGAAUAGGCUGAAAGUGAUUCUUCUCAUGUUAUUUCUCCCACUCUGAGUGCUUUUGUGGGGGGAAGGCAUAUCCAGGACAAUUCAAUAGUUGCUUUUGAAUCUCUUCAUUAUUUGAGAGCUCGAAAGCAUGGUCAGGACGAAUUUUUUGCACUGAAAAUAAAUAUUAGUAAGGCCAAUGAUAGGCUUGAGUGGGGUUUUUUGAAAGCAGUAAUGGUGAAGAUGGGUUUUCGUGAGAAGUGGGUUGAUUUGAUUAAUUUUUGUGUCUCUUCGGUAUCUUAUAAAGUGUUGCAACAAGGGAGAUUUAUUGGUCCUAUUGAUCCAGGGAAAGGAUUGCGGCAGGGGGAUCCCUUGUCCAUAUUUAUUUAUUAUCUGUGCUGAAGUUUUGUCCCGAUUGAUUCAAGCUAAAGAGAGAUUGGGCUCCAUUCAUGGGUUAAAGUGAUUACUGGAGCUCCAACGAUGUCACAUCUGUUCUUUGCAGAUGAUAGUGUUUUGUUUUUUAAGGCUACCUUGAAUGAAGCUCAGACGAUCAGAAUAUUGUUGCAGGACUAUGAAUUAGCCUCAGGUCAGGCCGUUAAUUUUAAUAACUCUUUGAUUUAUUUUAGUCGUAACACUGAUGCUACCAUAAGAUCAGAUAUUUGUUCUCUACUGCAAGUUAGGGAGCAUGAUGACCUUGGUACUUAUCUAGGACUUCCUGUGUCGAUUGGGCGAAAUAAGAAGGAAGUGUUUGGCUAUAUUAAGGACCGUGUAUGGAAGAAGCUAAAUUCAUGGAAGGCAAAGAAGUUAUCUAAGCCUGGCAAAGAAAUUCUCUUGAAGAUGGUGCUCCAAGCGAUACCGAUUUAUGUUAUUAUGUUAUUCCUAUUUCCUAAAUCUCUUUGUGAGGAACUAGAGAAUAUAAUGUGUCGCUUUUGGUGGGGUACGACAGAAAAUAAUCAUGGUAUUCACUGAAUGAGUUGGGAGCGCCUUUGUCGGGAUAAAAAAGCAGGAGGACUUGCGUUCAAGCAGCUAAGGAAGUUCAAUAUUGCUCUUCUUAGGAAGAUUGGGUGGAAGCUGUUGAAGGAACCCAAUUCCCAUGUUGUCAGGCUCUUAAAGGCGAGGUAUUAUGCCAACUUUAUGUUUCUGGAAGCUCCUUUGGGUAGUAACCCAAGCUAUCUUUAGAGGAGCAUUCGUGAAAGUCAGGAGAUUAUCAGGAAGGAGAUUUACUGGAAGGUGGGAGGAGGCAAACGAAUUGCUCUUUGGACUGAGUCGUGGUUAAGGGAUGCUGUUAAUCCUUUUGUUACUACGUCAUUUGAUCCUAGUUUUGGUGUCUAUUAUGUCCAUGAUUUGAUUGAUGAUGGCUAGUGGAAUUUACAACUUAUAAGGGACACAUUUAAUGCUCGUGAUGCUGAUUUGAUUUUGAGCACUCCUUUGAUUGCUGGAGCCGUCGAUGAGAUUGCUUGGAGGUUUGAAGAGAGAGGUCAUUACUCAGUGAAGUCAGCCUAUAAAGCUCUUACAGUAAACUCCCAUCAGAUUGUGCCUUCGAAUGCAAUUAAUGUAUUGAGUCGAUUAUGGAAAAUCAAAGCGCCACCACAGGUCACUAAUUUUAUCUGGAGAGCAGUUAAUGGCAUCCUACCAACUCGUGAUCAAUUAAGAAGAAGAAGAGUGGUGGUACCAUCUCAUUGCCCAUUAUGUAGUCAGUGUGAUGAGAAUGAUCUUCAUUUACUAGUCAAUUGCUCUUUCUCAAAGCAAGUUUGGCAAGCUUCAUUUUUAGGUUGGUACUCGCCUAUUGUGAACAGGAAUGGCUUGGUCAGAUUUUUUCGCAUCUUUAAUGACAAGGAUGCAGCAAUGGCGUUAACUAUGUGCUGGCAAAUCUGGAAUUCUCGAAAUAAUGUGAUAUGGAAGCUACAAUUUCCAUCGGCUAUGGCUAUAUGGAUGAGGGCGUGGCUGUUUCUUGAGGAUUGGUUGAAGGCAAAUGUUGCUGUGGGAAGAGGUGUUGCAACUGCAAUUAAGUGGCAGCGACCUGAACUUAACUGGGUUAAAGUUAAUGUCAAUGCAGCAGGGGCAGUGGGUGACUCUUAUGCUGGAUUUGGCGCGGUGGUGAGAGAUAGUAAUGGCGCUGUGCUGGGAUUGAAAAUUGGCAGGUUUGGAACGAGCUUAAGGCCAAAGGAAGCUGAGGCUAUGGCAGUCAAGGAAGCUUUAAGCUGGUUGGAGGGAAAAGGAUGGUACUGUUUUUGGUGAUAUUAUUAAUUCUAUUUGUCAAGUUUCUUCACAGAUUGGAUGUGAAGUUGAGUUUAGGCAUGUUUAUCGUUCGUCAAAUGAGAUUGCUCAUAGGCUUGCUCAAGCAUCUCGAACAAUGUCGAAUGUGGGGGAGUGGUUACGUGAUUUCCCUCCCUUUGUAUUAUCUAUUUUAAGCUUGGAUGAUUAAUAAAUUCCAACUUUUCUUCAAAAAAAAAAAAAAACUAAUUCCAGUUUAGAUUCGAUAAGUAAAGGAAUUUGGUUAGUGUUUUUGUUAGAAUAGAUUCUAGAAAUUCAGUGUCCAAGUCCAGCCUCUAAUUUGAGAUUUACUAUUUAUUUCCGUAAAAUAAUUUGCUGAAAAAAAUUUUUAUGGAAAACAUUUUCUUUGAAAAAUUUUUCCGAACGACUUAUUUCCCUGUAUUUGGUUGUAAUAUUGAAAAUUAAUUAAAACUAUUAAAGUAUUUAUCUCAUAGGACCAUAAAAAAAUAUUAAUAAUAAUAGAAAUUUUAUAAUUUAAAAAUUUUAUUGUUAAAAUGAGAAGAAUGCAAAAAAAGAAAAUGUAAUUUAUGAAAGGCACCAGUGGCAAGUGGUGGUGGCCGUUGGUAAAUGGUGAUUAGUGGUAGUCAUUGUGAUGAUUAAUAGAUUAAAAAAAUAUGGAUUUAUAAUGUUUGUCAAUGUCUAAAAAAUAUUUUACUCUCUUUAAAAAAUGACUUAAUUUUUCUUUAACUAAAAGUAUUAUUUUCUAUUAACUUAUUUUUCUGAAUGCCCCAAAUAACAAAAAAAUUGUAAAAAAUAUUUUCUUAAACCAAAUGGAGCCUCAAUUUAUCAUAUUCUAAUUUAUGCAAAUAAAAAGUAGUAUUAUAAAUAAAUUCUCAUAUACGGUGUUAUUAGUCAAAAUUGGUUGAUUAUAAUAGGUGAUAAGUUGAUUAACAAUGAUCAAUAAUUGUAACUAUUGGUAAUUGGCAAAUUAAUAAAUGACAGGACCACCACUCCUCGCCAAGGUGUCUUUAAAGAUUAUAAUAAAUUUAUUAAUAUUUAAAAAGAUUUUCCUCUUUUAAAUAUAUAUUUAGUUUUUCUUUAAUUAAGAGAAUAUUUUCUAUUAACUAAUUUAUGUAAGAACAAUCAAAAAAUAUCUUUUAAAUAAGUUAUUUUUUAAAAACAAAUGAGUUCGACUUCAAAUUAUUUUAGAUCAAAUUUAGAUACCAAUGAAAGGUCUAAAUAAUUUAGUUUGACUAUAAUUAUUACAAUGAAGAUUAAAAAAAAUUAAUUUAAAUUCAACCCAACUCGAGUAACUAACUAAUUGAAAAGUCGUCUAUAUUUAAUUUGAAUACUCAGAAGUCAAUAAUAAAAUCGCUGGGGAACUCCAUCUGUACCAUGUACAUAAAUCUAGUUUGACUUUCAUAUAGAUUAGGAAAAACUAAUUAAUAUGGUUAAAUUAUAUUUUUCGUUUAGCUUUUUUCAAAAUUAUCCAUUUACAAUAUUAAAUAAUGUACAUAUAAUUAAGAAUAGAGAUGUACAUUAAAUAGAUGUAUAUUAAGAAAUUACAUAAUAAUAAAUCUUUUCAAAAAGGAAAUAAGACUGUAUUUUGAGACAUACAAAAAAGAAAAAUGAAUUUAUAUAUAUGGGACGAAGAGAGUAAUUUUCUACAUGGAUAAAUAAUUCAGCAUUCCAAUAGAUGUAUCAAAGAAAGAAAAAGGUUAAUUUUUUACAUGGAGUUUCUUUUUUCUUUUUAAGAAUAUCUUCACUGUUCUUUUUAUGAGUAAAAUACAACCUUUGAAUUUUUAAAUACAAAAUUAUUUAAUAAAACUAUAUCAUGUUUUAAAUACAAGAAGAAUUAAAAGGAGAUAAAUUAACGUCAUUUACAAUAAAAGUUAGGCUUUCCUUGAGACAAGCCCACCCAACCGGGCCGGUCUUCAUUGAAAUGCAGAUUCAAACCAAACCCUUGGAUGGAAAUAUAAUCUGGGCUUACUAGGCCUCUGGGCCGGAGCAACAUUUAUCCUUACAAAUUUAAUAUUAAAUGAUACUACCUCUGUUCUAUAAUAUUAGUUAUAUUUGGAAAAUUAGUUUAUUUCAAAAUACUUGUCAUAUUUAUGGUUUUAAGGAAUAAUAUUUUUUUUCCUUAUUUACCCUUAUAUAUGAUAAAAAAUUGUUACUUCAAUUUAAUUAUUUUCUUGGAGAAUUAGUAUUAAAUUAAGGGUAUAUAGUCAAUUUACUCAAUAAUUUAUUGUAAUUUAGACAAAUUUAAUAAUUUUCUUAAGGUACAUGGAAUUCUAAAUGCGACAAGUAUUAUGGAACAAAGGUAGCACAUUCUUUGUCCCAAAAUAUAAGUCAGUUUCAAGUUUUUGCAUGAGGAUUAAGGAAAUAAUUAAUUCUCUUAAAUUAUUACUAAUAAAAUCAAGGAUAGUUUAAUUAAAUUAUAUUUUAUCUCAAAAAAUAAAUAAUGAUAACUUAUGAAUAUAGUUAAUUUAACUAAUAUAAAUAAGGGUAACACUAGAAAAACAUCAUGUACUACUUAAAAUAUUUAAAAAAAAUUAUAUUUUGGAACAAAAUAACCACCCAAAACAUUUUAUAUUUUGGGAUUGAGGAAGUAUUAUGGUACGAAUUUUCCACACUUAGCGGGAUUAGCGAUGAUAAUGGUUUACAUAAUUAUUAGAUAAACUAGACGGUUAUCUGUGCUUUACACGAUUGUAUAAUAAUUCUAUUUUUCAUUUCAAAUGUAAAUAUAUAUGUUGAGUAAAUUAUAUAAAUUCAUUUUUUAGGAAAAAAGUGACUGAAAUUAUUAUUAGAUAUAAAGUCUUGUAGGUACUUAAAAUAAUAUAAAUAUUUAAUUUUUAUUUUUGUAGAGAUUUAUCUAAUUGGGAGUAUAUAAUUAAAAAAUUAUUAAAACAUAAUAGUUAAUUUAUAAUUGCAUAAAACAUAUUUAAAUCCUUUGAAGUUACACACACUUAAAUCCUUGCACAAAUAAACAAAAUAAACUAAACUAAGCAAAAUAUAAAAUGAAAAAACAAAUCAAGUAAAUAACUUAAACAAAACAAUGAAAUACCAUAUUGUUCUUCUUUCAACCGGCAAUAAACUGAAGAAGUUAAAAUAAAAAAUUAACUUAAACUUUCAACGAUAGAAAGAAAUUAAAUUAAAAAAAAAAUAGAAUAGUGAAUAAAAAGAGAAUCUUGAACUUUAUAUUUAUAUAAGAUGACAUAUAAAUACUGGCAUUCUCAGUCUGCAAAAAAAAAAUUAAAAGCUAAAACCACUAAUUUCACAUCAAUCCAACUCUUUGAAUUUCAAAUCAAAAUAAGAAAAAUCACAUAGAAAGUUUUUUUCAUGAUAAAUUCAAUUUAGUCAUACAAAUAAUAAAGUGAAUUUAAAGAUCUAUAAAUAUUAUCGACUUGAAAAUAUUCAACUUAUCAUAAGAAGAAAAGCUAGAUUUAUAUCCUUAGAAUUUAUUAAAAAACUGAAAAUCAUAAUCAAAUAAAUCAAAUGAGAAAUAAAAAAAAAAAGAAAAAGAAUAAUACUACUCACUAUCAUACCUUAUUGUUUUUAAACUGUAUAAAAUUAUUCUCGAACGUUGAUAAAUUACUUAUCACGAGAAGGAAAAUAAAAUUUAUAUCUAAUGAUUUACCUAAAAACUAAAAUCAUUACCAAACAAACCAUAAAUAAUGUGCAUUUUUUUAUAACACAUGGUAUUUUUUAACAUUUUUCAAAUUAUUAAAAUUUUAAACAUAUUAUAUUUGAUUUGAAGUUUAGACUACACAAAAAUAAAAAAUUUUAUAUUUGUAAAUUUUGAAAUUUUAAAAAUUUAGACAUCGUAUUGUUUUUCUAUCACAUAUUUAAUUUCUACCAAAAAAACAAAUAGCAUAUUUGAUUUGAAUUUAAAAACUAAAAAAAUAUUUAUAUAUUAUGAAAAUCUUAAAAAUGUAAUUGAAAUAUUUAAAUUUUUUAUAUUGACAUAAUUAAAUAAAUUUAAAACUCAUAAAAAUGAAAAGACAAUUCAUUAUUGAAAAUUAAAUGAUGGGGAGAAAAAAAAAUGGACAAAAAAAGAGAAAUACUAAAAAAUCACAAAAAAGAUAAAUCAAACAAUCAAAUAUUAAAAGUUUCACUUUCUUUAGAAAGUUUCACCUCAACAUAUAGAAAAAAACAAUAUUUCUCCUAUAUAUAUUGGGGAGAUAGAGUAAAGGCGGGGUAAAUGAAAAUCUUUUACUUUUUUUUUAGAGAGAUUAGGAAAAUUAUAAAAUAUGAUGAAAAUAUUAUUGUCUUAUUUACAAAAGUGAAAAAUGAAUAUAUAUAGAACACACUUGAAUUAUAUAUCCUUCUUUAUUAUUAAAAGACAUUAUUUAAAUUCAGGGGUUGUGCGUCAGUUGACAACGUAGGUUGGGCAUGUGGAAAGAGCUUUAGGGUUCGUUCCUCCUUAAACACACCUACAGUGAAAGGCGAAGUCUUAACUGUGACUAAGUCCCGAGCUGGAUUAGGUGAUCCCUAGUUAUAGGGUUCGGAUAUUGGUGGUUUAUAAAAAAAAAAAAAAAAAGACAUUAUUUAAAAAGAUAAAGUAAAUUCAGGAUUUUUUAUUGAUAAAUGUGAAAAACAAAUAUUUUUCAUUUUAUAAAUUUGUUUUAUUAGUGAUAUGUACAAUUUUUCAGAAAUUUGGUGAAAUCCAAUGUUAGAAUUGAUAUUGAAUUUUAAAAAUAAUAACAAUAAAAGCUCAUUUUUCCUCUUGACUUUUUGUUUGAAGCUUUGGCCCUUCGUUGGUGCUUACCUUGGAUUUAUAAUAUGUUUAAUUCCCCUGGCUGUAUUUAUACAGACUUUUAGGCUUUAGUUUAUGCUUUCCGCUCUUUACAUGAGGACAUUUCUGAAUUAGGUUUAGUGUUGGUUGAUUGUAAAGACAUUUUUAGCAAUAGGUCUAACAUAAACGCCAGAUGGCAAGCAAACGAAGGAGUUCAUUUUCUAGCUAGAGCUUUCUACAUGUACGCUCGUUUUCAGGAAUGAGAUUCUAUCCCUCAUUUCUUGUUACCCUUUUAUAUUUCUAAUAAUGCUAAGAGGUAUUUUCUUUAAAAAAAAAAAAAAAAAAAAAGAAAGAAAGGUGAAAAACAGAAGGAUAAAAAGGAAAAAAGAAAAGGAAUAUAAUAAAAAAAUUCAUAUUUGGGAAUGAAUGUAUAUAUAUAUAUAUAAUUCUGAAGAAAAAAUAACUUUAAAAAGCUAAGUUGAUACUAUGUUGUUUCAGUAUUUCCUUCUUCAUUUUUAUAGAAAUUUUUGAAUUUUUCUUUUUUUUUUCUUUAUUUCUCUCUAUAUAUAUAUUUUUUAAAAAAAUUAUUUUCUCUAAAUAGAUAUAUAUAUAUUCACUUCGAAUUUUUUUAAAUACUUUAUUAUGUAUAAAAUACCGAUAUCUGUUACAUAUCUAUAUCUUCUACAAAGUGAUCUAAAGCUCAUAAUCUCUAAUAAAGACACUUCACUUCCUAGGCUUUCUUUUGAGUUUUUCUUUUUCUUUUUUAUUUUUUUUUGCAGUCAAAUAAAGGCUAAUUAUGUGUUUCUAUUAUGAAAAUUCUAGGCCUUCAUCCUUAAAUGCAUUAAAUUUUAUCUUCUAAAUUUUGUUAAGUUUUUCUAUUUUGGACGAAGCCAAACAGAGACUAAUUUCAUAUUUUUGUGAUGACAAUUUCAAGCUAAGGAGUGAAAGCAAAAGUUCAACUUUGAGAAGAGUUAAGGAAGCUAAAGUACAUUGUGAAUUUUCUCCAAUAUUUUCAUUUUUUUUAUAUUUAUUUACAUUUGUGUGUAAAUUUUAUUUAGAUGCUACUUAUUGCGAAUUAUUUCUGCAAAAUGCUAAAUACAAGAAUUAUUUCUUAGAUAAUUUUAUCUGCAAGUUCUCUUUUAUUUUGUUUUUUCAUUUGAUUCCCAUCCCAAAAGUUCAAUUAGAAUUCAAUCAUGGAAUGUAUAAAAGUAGUAGUCAGUUCAAUUGGCACAAAAAUAGAAGAUUUAGUUGUAGGAAAAUGAAUUCACUUAAUCAAAUCCAAAGUUUAUUGUUGUUAAUGGAUCAAUGGAGAAAUCAAAAUGAGUAUUUGAAUAUGGGAAAUUAGGAUUUUAAUCGUGGGAUAAGUAUAAAGGGUGAAAUGUACUUUGUGAUUAUGAGAAAGGCUGAUUUAGUCCAAAGAAAAUGCAUAUCGGUAUAUAUAUAAAAGCAGAACAGUCUGCAUUAUAUGAAAACUAAGUGUAAGCCGCUAAAAUUGCCAAGUAUAAGGAGGAUAAUAAUUAUUUAGCACAAUUAUAAGAAGAUAAGGUGUAAUGACAACAAUUGUAAGAAGAUAAGUUAUUUUAUAUUUUUAGAUAAUAUUUUUGUCAUGAUAAUAUCUAUUAGUUAUAUCCCAUCAAGAUAAUGCAUUCAAUUAAAUUAAAAUAUAAAUAAUCAAGCCAUAAAAUAAGAAAUAAUUAAUUUAUACUAGGAGCUAGGUUGCACGGACACAAGACACGAGAUAUGGAACGUAUGAGAUAUAUGAUAAUAAAUAAACAAUCAUUUUUUAUAAUAAAUAAAAAAUAAAAAAUAAUUAAUUUUUUAUUUUAAUAUAAUUAGUUUAAAUUAAAAUUAAAAUACAUAUAACCCACACUAUAAAAUAAAAAAAAAUAUUUAAUUUUUUAUUUUAAUAAUUACCUUGACAUAUGGAGUAGUCUUAUAUACCGGAAAUUCGGUUGCACAGACACAAGACACGAAAUACGGGAACGUACGAGAUAUAAUAAUAAAUAAAUAAUCAUUUAUAAUAAAUAAUAAAUAUCAAAUAAAAAAUAACUUAGUUUCUUAUUUCAAUAUAAUUAGUUGAAUUCUCAAAAAUAUUAUCGGUAUUGAAAAAUCUAUAUCUAUCUAUAUAAUAUAUAAAAAUAUGGUAGUUUGCUUUAUAUAGAAACCAAGUGUAAGUGGCACAGUUAAUUUGCUUUAUUGUAGGAAUUGAAUUGAAUCAAACCGAAUUAGUUUGAUCGGUUUAGUCUGUUUUUUCAUUUUUGAUAGAGUCGGUUUGGUUUUUGUAAGUUUAACCAAUGGAUUUUGUAAAACUAAAUCAAACUGUCUUGAAACUUUAGUUUGAACCGAAAUAAAUUGAGAAUCAAACUUAUUGUGAGCAAAAGCUAACUGCACCAAACUAAAUAGUAUUGGUUUGGUUUUGGAUUCGAAAUAUCAUUUUGGUCACCCAUAGGUGGAGGUUCUCUCCUAAGUCUCUAUUUGAUGAACUGUAAUAGUGUAUAAUAUAAUAUAAUUAAAUGCAUUUUUAAUAAUAUUUUAUAUUAGAAAUUAUUUUAAUUUGAUAGGACAUUUAGUUUAGCUUAUUCACACGUAGCUGAUUUACACCCAAUAAUUAUGCAAGAGAUUUUAAUAAAGUUUAUAAUCAGCACCUAGUUAGUAGCCGAUAGAAAUUACAAUCAGCUGCGGAUUCACAUUUGUAUUAUAUUUUGAUAAUAUUAACCUUAUGAAAUAAUUACUAAUAAAAUUAUUUUCUUUUUUUAAAUUAACAUUUUUAUAUACUCAUUUUACUCAUAAAUAAUUAUUUAAAAUAUUAUUAUAAAUUAAUAUAUUUUUUAUAUAACACACUAAAAUAUAAAAUAAAUAUUUAACUUAAAAAAAUAUAUAUGAUAUAUAAUAAUUUAGAAAAAUAAUUAUACCCUUAACAACCAUUGUAUUUCAACAAUAACCACUACUAAAAUUUUAUCAAACAAUCAAUAUUUAUCGGGUAACAGCUAUCAGUCAUCAUCCAUCAACUAAUACGAACAAAUAAACUAAACAGGUCCAAUAUUACUUUACUCAAAUGGAAACUCAUAACUAUAAUGUAAAAACCCACAAACAUGAUUCAACAAAGGCGCGGUUAGGUAAUUGACUGAGGUAAGCAAACGGUUUCUUGUCUAAUUGGCAACACAGCAAAGUGAUUCAGCAUGCUAAGAUUAGGUAUUUGACAAAAGACAGGGCAAAAUGAGAGCACUAAUUGACAAAACAUACAAGAACCAAACCAAUAAGCAACUAACCCACCAACACCAAAUAUCCAAAGAGCCAAAAAAAAAUAAAAAUAAAAAUAAAAAUAAAAAUAAGAAACAAAAAAGUGAAUGCAUACACUCAUAUUCACUUAGCCCCAACACACUAAUUUAGUAUAAUUAGCAAUAAUGGCCAUUGAGUAUAAAUUUCAAAUUAUAAUCCAACUUGUCCAUUAUUGGGAUUAUCAGUGGUCAUAUUUUGAGAUUUUGCUCUUAAAUCAAGUCAUCUUUAGAUUGUUAAUACCAUUAUGAUAAUUUUGUUUAUAAUAUUUUAUUAUUUGGGUAGUUAUGCAACAAGAAAUACAUAUUUUCUUUCCGAUAAAAGGAAAAAAUUUGAAAAUGAUCAAAUCAGACUUAUAGAUGAUCAUAUUAAACUUAUAGAAAUACCAUCAAGUCGAACAGUUGCCAUGAAUAGCCACCAAGUGAAACAAACAAUCGAUUAUGACACAUGUAUUAUGCCUAUUGACUUGAUCGAACACUUUAAAUUAAAAUUUUCAUUUUUUAAUCUUUGUAUAAAUGGUUUACUAUUAGACUUAUUAUACAAAAAUAUAGAAAUGUAUUAAUAUAUAUUUCAUAUCUGUAUACAUUUCCUUUCAAUUUACGGUUUGAUUUCUUUAAAAAAAAAAUUAUAAUCCAACUUCAUAAAAUAUAAUUAAAAAAAAAUAAUUUAUCUAAGUUAUACUCCACGACCAUGUGUUAUGGUACCUAUUUUCUUUUGUUGUUAUUCACUCACAUGAUCCCACAAUCUCUGCUUAAAUAAAAACCCAUGUCCUUUCUUUUCUUGUUGAGAACUAUUUCAGUACCUGCUACUUAGUAGUGGUCUUUACGUUGAGUGUGAUGUUCCAAGAAAAUUCCCCUAAAUUUCAUCACUUAAUUCCCUUUUUGCUUUUUCAUCAGAUAAUGGUUUCUCUUUUUCUAUUCCCAUGUGUGUUUGCUUCUUGGUGAAGAAAAUGACCCUCCACCGUCUGGGCACUGUAGAUACUGAAUUAAGUCACAGCCACUGCUAGUCUAUUAUUGGAUUAACAGCUUUUUAAAAAUUGAUAUAAUAAUUUUCUUUCACUCAAAUAACAAAAGAAGAAGAAGAAGAAGAAGAAGAAGAAGGGAUAUUGCUUUCUUUUGCAAAUAUGUAUUCUUUUUUUUAAUCUUUUUUUUUAGGAAUUGUAAGAAAUAUAUAUAAUUAUUAAUUACUGAAGCCGAAACCUUCUAGACACGAAACGUAGAGAAUUUUGAAUGUAGUAAUGUGCAUAUCCAAUGAGUGGUCCUAGUUGCUCUAUCUCCACUGCAGGGAGAUUGAAUUAAAGGUCCUCGAUCAUUGUCAAAAAACAUUUUUUUUUUUAUUUUAAACUUUACCUUAUUAACUAAGUAAAUUAAAUAGCCUUACGCUCCAUUCGAUAAGAGCGUUCAGUAGUAUUUAGUAUUUUAAUUAAUUAUUGUAUUCCGUAAUUUGAGGCAAUGUUUUAUCAAACAAUAUCCUCAUUAACAUUUAGCAUUUUAUAAAUUUUUUAUCAAUUUUUGCCCAACACUUGUCUUUGUCUUGUUCUCUAUGACCUUAUCAUUUUUUUUUUUUUGUCUUUUUAUAUUAAACACACUUAUUUUUAUCUAAUACCUUUUAUUUCAAACAACUAACUACUAGUAAAACAACUAACAUCUACUACAAUAGCUAACAUCUAUUAGAACCGCUGAAAUUGCCCCUGUUUGACAUGAGUUAAAACACUAUAUCUAUCAAUUAAAUUAUUCGUUAACUUAAUAUUUAUAAUAGUUAUUAAAGGUUAGGGAGCGUUUCAUCAAAAGUUAAAUCCCUUAUGCUCCAUCUGUUACAAUUGUUUAUUUUUAGUUUUUUAUUUAUUAUAAACAUAAAGCUACUUUUACUUUUUUGGUUACUUUAAUUUCUCAAAAUUGUUUUUUUUUCCUAAAAUUAUUUUUUCCUUUUUUUUAGUUCAUAAUGUGAAAAAUUGUUCCAAUUAUCAAAUCUCUCCCUUGACUUUAGUUAAUAAUAAAAAAUCUAAAAAUCUAAAAAUAUAAAAUCUAAGACAAAAUAAUUAAAAAUAUUUCACACUUUAAUUUUUAAAUUCAAAGUUAAAUUAAUUAUUGAUUAUUAUGUCUACAAUCAAUUGAAUAAAAAUAUAAUAUCCAAGUAUUGUAAUAAAUAAAUAAUACUAAAUGACAUUAUAUUUAUAUAGAUAAGAAAAUAAUAAUAAAUAUAAAAUAAUACUAAAUAGAGAAGAGAUUGAAAAAAAAAAACAUAGAAUUUUAAUAGAGAUAAUAAAACUAAUGCUUAUAUAUUUUGGAUAAAUAAAUGACAUUAGAUUUAUAUGGAUAGAGAUAAUAAUAAUAAUCAUACAACUUUAUGAGCACAAGUCUUAUAAAAAAUGAAAAAGAAAAGGAGGAAUGUAGAAUAAAAACAGAAAGCACAAGCAUAAUUACAGAAACUAUUAUUUUUUUGUUUCAUAAAAUUUAUUUUUUUGUUUUAAAAAUCAGUUUUCUAAAAAGUAAAGAAAAAAAAAUUAAACAAAUUUAAACAAACAAGUUUUUUGUUUAUUUUUUAAGGAAAAAAAUGAAAAAACCAAAAACCAAAAACUUAAUCUAAAACAAACAGCACCUUAACAUUUAGGGUUUUAGAUUUUAUGUUUUGACACUCUUAUCCAUUUUUUUUUCCUUAUUUUUAAGACUUACAAUUCUAGUUACUAUAACACUCCUUUGAAUUUGGUAUUCUUAUUUUUUAUUUAAUUUUUCUUUCCCAAAUCUCAAAGGAAUAUAUAUCAUCUUAAUUAUUUAAUUAUUUUAUUUCUAUUGUCUUAAAACAAGGAUAAGAGCAUAUUGUCAAAAUUAAAUAAAAAUUAGAAAAAAAUUUGUCAUCUUUUCAUUUUAAUUUUAUAAAAAAUAAUUUUUAUUAUAGAAAAAAAUUAAAAUAAAAAAUAAAAAAUAUGAUAAUAAUUUAGAAAAAAAACACUUGUUAUAUAUAUAUCUUAUUUUUUAUCAAUUAGUCCAUUUCAGUACCAUUGCCAUAAUUUUUUUUUUUUUUUUGGUAAAAAAUGGAGAGCAACGUUCUGAGUAAACAUUGACCUCUAUAUUAUCAUGAAGAAGUCAUUCUACCAUUUCUGGAGGCGGCUGCAUGAGAAGAUGAGUCCUUGACGGAUAGGUUCUUGCAUAUCUGAAAAGGUAAUCCCCGCAAUAGCUCACUUCUCUAUAAACAUGUUUGAUCACACAACCUUGAAAUUGUGUAAUCGGCUGCUGAAUAGCAAACACUAACUGCUGAACUGCCCCUGAAGAGGAAGCAUUAUCCGAGAUGAGUUGCACAUCAAUCCAUAAUUUAAAAUUUUAGUAGUUAAUCAAAUAUUUAUUUUUAUCAAAUACGUAUGCUUUAAAUCACUAUAUAAACAGUUAAUAACUAACAUCUAAUAAUUAAUAUCUAACAGUUACUAAAACAGUACAAAAUUACUAGAAUAGCUAACAACUACUAUAAUAAUUAAUAUUGCCGAAUAGACCCUUAAUUAAUAAGGUAUUUUAAUUUCUAAUUUUAAAUAAAAUAAAAUACUAGUUUUGUAUUUAUCAAAAAGAAUUUUACCUAUCUUAAAUUGAAUAGACGUAAAACCAUAAGGUACAUUUUAGGUAGAUUUUAUCUACUUUCUCAUUUAUUUAAUUAUAAUAAUAAAUUCAUAAAACAUUUAGAAGCAUUGGCCAAGGAGCCUCUUAAAUUGGUGGAACCGUCUCUUAAUUAUUGCAUGUGACUGUGAAUAGUUGAUAUUUACGUGACUACAGUACCUAAACCCAUCUACAGAUAUAAUUAAUUGAAAGCGGUAAUGAGACCACCAGUAAGUCUUCCCACUCCAAUAGAAAAUGAAUAAAUUUUAUCUUGUAAUUUGCAAGUGAGGACUUUUAUUUAUUAAUGGAGGGAAUAUAAUUUUCCUGUCAAGUUAGACUUAUCCACCUAAUUAUUUUUUCUUCUAUUUUUUUUAUAUAAAUACUAAAUACACAAUAAGAUAAAAAAUGAAAUUAUAGCAUGCCACAUAUUUAUUUUCUUAAUUUCUAACAAGUAUUUUCACAUCCUCUUUGGACAGAUGAUUUUCAUUUCAAAGUUAAUUUAUGACUGCUUUCUCCUUCUCACGACAUCUCCCAAUAUGAAGUAAUAUUCCCUUAUUAACAAAAAAAAAAAAAAAAAAAAAAAAACUAGUAAAUUGCAGUCAAAUAUUUCAAUUUUUGAUUUAGUUGAGUCCAUAAGUAGAGGGGAAAAAGUUAAUAUAACGGCUAGCUAGUGUGUGUAUGCAAUUCAUUCUUGAUAAAAUAAUUCAAUUUCCUUCUCAAAUUAAAAAAAAAAAAAAAAAAAAAAAAAAAAAAAAACUCAAUUCAAAAAGUUGUAUCUUAAAAUAAUAAAUAACAAUGAUGAGGAAGAUCCUCUCUUUGCCUAAAAAUUAAAAAACCUACAAUUAUAAAUUACUUUUGUCGACUUUUUCUAAUAAUGAUUAUAAAGAAAGGUAGAUAAUAUUUUGCCCCCUUCACCGUAUCCUUGCAAUCUCCACUCACAUGCCAAAUCCUCACUACUACACCCACAAUUUUCUCCACCAUCCACCGCAACCGCAACAGCCACCGCCACCGCCACCGCCACCAUCCCAUUUUUCAAUUAUUCCUCUUUGUCAAUGCAAUGUAUUAAGCCUCUAAAAUUAUAAUAAUGUCCAAUACAAUGUGACUUAUUCAAUUAUUUAGUGUAUGGACAAAAUGAACCAGCUCAUGCACAACUCUGUUUCUUGAAUCCAAAUCUAUCAUUCUCCAAAUCAUACUCUAUAUAAAAAUUCUGCUGUUGAAAAUUCCCCAAGAUUAUCGCCGGACCACCGCCGCUACGACCGCCCUGAGUAGCCCCAUUAUCGCUCACAAUUGUUAAACAGACAACAUCCAGAUCAACAAAAGCAAAAUAAUUAGACAAAGGCAGUUGCAUUUUAGCACCACCUUUAAAGUGGAAAAUCAAUUCCGGUACAAGAACCGAGUUCUCGCCAGAAAUAUUGAAACACGGCCUUAAACCGGUCAGUUUUUGAACGUCAGUUGCUACUGAAUAAUUACCCAUUUGCUUUUCAAACUCUUUAGCUACUAAAUCAAAAACCAGGCCUUCCAUGAACGUAAAAGUUGCGCCGGAAUCCACUAUAGUCCCUCCAUUACCGUCAGAUCCCGGAACCAAGAAACUGUACGGAACUUUAACAUGCCGGUCGCCGACGAUAAUUUUCCUUAGCAUUACAUAGUAAUAUUCUUGGAAUGCUACGUUCGACCCGACCGGAUUUUUUAAGAACGGUGUGUAACUAACGCCUUGAGUCUCGCCGGAAAUCGGACCCAUAUCCAAAAUAAGGUCACUACUCACCGGAGUGUCAUCAAACUGGCGAGAUAUUAAACAAUAAGAGAAUUUUUUAAGACCCAAUUGUAAAGGGAGAGAUUCGGGGGCCCGACCAAACCCGGCAAUUCCUUCAGGUUGACGGGUAGAGAGAAGAGAGCAACCGACUACAAAAUCGGUUACCGUUUUAUUAGGGAAAUCAAGAGACUCUACAAGUAAACGACCAGCCGUAGAGCCUAAGCCGUACUGAACUACAUAAGGAGGACAAGCUUGAUCAGUACAGUUUUGACUAUUCGGGUCGCAGUGAAGACAUUGGGACUGAACAUUGGAUCCAAAAAUCCAUGCACAUUUCGGAUUCUUGCAACCCACAAGUUUUGAAGAAGAAGAAAGUUUAGGUAUAAAUUUAUCUAGUUUCGUUAUAUCAGUAUUUGGAAAAUUACAGUCUGCACAGAGAUAACGAGAGGUACAAGGAAACCAAACGAGACUACUACCUGUGUCCAUGAUAAAUUGAACUUUUUGCGGCGGUGUACCGAAACUCAAAGACAUUGAAUACCCGCCAUAGCUACGAGAGUAUAGAGGGGUUUUGAUGAGAGAAAAUUUGGUUUUAGGCGAUUUGAGAUGGUGAGCCCUGGAGAGAGAAAGUGAAGCUAAAUUGUUGAGGAUUUUCGAUGGAUCUGAGGAAGAUGGAUGCUUUGUUGAAGAAGAAAGGGGGAUUGUUAUUGUGGUUGGUGAUGUAAAAGGGAAAAUGAAGAAGAGAAAGAGAAGAAAAAGAAUUGCAGCCAUGGAUGGAAGAAGCAAACCAGUGGGUGUUUUUUUGUAGUUUUGUAGCUUCUGUUGUGUAGUCUUAUAGAGGAAGAAACCAAAGUAACGGUAAGGUGGAGAAUAUGUUCCAUUUGGGAGAUAUAAUUGACUUUCUUCUUUUCAGUCGCUGGUAAAGUAAAUUACUGUAAAGUUAUAAAAUAGCCUAUUUUCAUCUUUGUUCUCAAUUCGCGGGGAUAGCUCAGUUGGGAGAGCGUCAGACUGAAGAUCUGAAGGCCGUGUGUUCGAUCUACGCUCACUGCAAUAAUUAUAAUAUUUAUCAUAAUUUUUUUUAAGUGUAUCACAUUCCAUUCUAUUUUUUUAAUCAAACAUUUUUUAUUUUAUAACGUUGAAUUCUAUUUCAUAGUUUAAAAUUUUAAAAGUUCCUUAAUUUUAAUAAAUAAAUAAAAAUUUUGAAACUUAAACAUUUAUUUAUUUAAAUGAAGUUUAAAAUAGUAAAAAUUAUAUAAUUACUGAUAAAGAAAUUUAUUGCAUUAAAAAUAUUUAUAUUUUAAAUAUAAUUAAAAGUUAAAAUAAAUUUUAGAAUAUUUAUUUUACAACUCCGUUCCCUAUUGCACAUACAAUUUUAGUUUAAAUAAAUCAAAUAAAUUAUUACUUGGUAAUUGAUAUUAUUAUUUCAUCCCUACUCUUGACAUAAAUUAUUAUAAAAGUCUCUAAUAUUAUUGUGAGGUCUUUCUGUCCACAAAUUAUUCAUUUUCCCUUUAUACAGACUAUGAUAUUUGGCUAUUUAGUAAUUCACAUUUAAUAUAAUAUUACUAUAUUUAGUCCCCUACAUUUAACACGACAUUAUUAUAUAAUUUCCUGUUUACCAGCAAAAAUGUCACUUUCGAUGUAAGGACUAAAUAGUUUAACAACUUUAAAAAUUAGAGCCAAUCUAAUUAUUUAGUCAAAAUGCAAGAAUUAAGUAACAGUAGAAUAAAAUGUCAGACUAAAUAACAAAAAUUUAGUCUUUUUUCGUUUUUUUAGCAACACGCAGAUAUCAUUAACUAAAUCCUUCAUCUGUUUCAAAAUAUACAUCAUUUAUGAUUUUUGCACAUAUAUUAAAGAAGAAAUAUUUAAUUCUCCUAAAUUAUAACAAAAUUAAGAGUAUUUGAUGAAAUUAUUAUUAUGACGAUAAUUAUUGUAUCUAAUAUAUAUAGAGAUUAACAUUAAAAAUAUAUUAUUUUUUACUUUUUAAAAUACUUAAAAUAUCUUAUACGUUGGGAAAGAAUAAUUACCCAAAAAUUACUUAAAUUUUGCAACGAAGGUAUAUAAAUUGGAACAAACUCAUUUACCAAGAAGCCCAACUCUUAAUUAACAAGUCCUCGACUUAGAUUUAGUGAUUGUACUAUUAACACCAAUUUAAAAAAUAAUAAUAAUUGAUAAAAAAAAUAAUUAGUAAGGAAAAAAAAAUCUUUAGCUCCUUAUAAUCUAAGCUUAAAAUUAUAUUAAUAACGUGGAAGGUAAAUCUAUUUUAUAAUCAUAGAUAUAUUAAUAAUCUGAUGAAUGGUUGCUUCUUUCUCCAUGAGCAAGACCAAAGACUUUUGGUACAUAGUAGUAUAGUACAAUAAAAAUAAAUGAAAAAUGUCCUUAAAUUUGAAAAAUAUACGUGAAAAUCAACAACUUUUUUUAUUAAAAUUAUUGAAAAAGUUAUUACAAAUAAAUUUAAAAUUGAUUAACUAAUAUUAGAGUGCAAAAAUCUCUAAACUUCACUCGUUGUCCUAAUUCCAUGUUUUUUUUUUCAAUUUAAACUGAGGCAUGAAAUUAAUUUCAAAAAGUUUUAUUUUAAGAUGUAAUUCUGAGUCUUUAACUAUAUUUAUGUGCUAUCACAAUAAGAUGGUGGUCUGAUCAAUCUUUUCACUUAUGUGAGAAGUGAAAAGUGAAAGAUUUUGAAUUUGAAUCCAUUCAAUCACAGUUGUUUCAACGAUAUAGUGAUAAGAAAAAAUUAAAGCAUUUUCUAAUGGACACUAAACCCCACACAGCACCUAAUUCCUUUAAAAGGCAAACCAAAGAAAAAAGAAAAACAAAAAGGUGAAAAGCACCCAACAGAGAAUUAUUCUUAAAAUGUAAAAAGAAAAGAAAAAUCCAAAUCCAGCUAGCUGUAGUAGCUAAGCAAAAUGCGUGGCAUUGUUGCAGUUUAGGAUGAAAACUGGUGCAGAUUUAUGAAAGCUCCAAAUCCGAAAGGUACCGAAUUGACCUCGCAGGAAACCCUUUUUAGCCGUUGAAAAAGCAUUUUCGUGGCAAUUUACUGGCUCAUGUACAUGACGUGGCGCAUAAUGAUACGACUACAGAUCAACUUUGGCUGCUUCCAAACGAAUAAAUUAUUCUUAAUCAAAUUGUGUUGGAAAAGAGAUUAAACGAGUAGUAAAAUUUAUUUACCAAAGUGAUCGGUGCCAAUAGUUAAUAUUGAUAACUAAGAGAUUGAAGUCAUUUCACUUUGUGAAAUAUCAAAUAAUAAGAUGAGAAAUAAUUAAUGGCACAAAAAGUAGGUUUUGUUCUUGAAUUAGGGAAAGCACAGGACUCUGGUUUAGCAGAGUUAGAUCUUGUAUCUUGAUAUUUCGGAUUUUAGGCAGUUACCUUAGAGGGAAAUGUCUAGUGAAGCUUGUUUUGUAACGUUGUGAAAUAAUAAGUCAAAUAACGUUUCAUGACUCUCCACGUAAAACCACUGAACCUUCUAUGUGGGUUUCCCUUCAGUUUUACUUCUUCUCUAUGAUUUUUUCCCCUCCUGUUUUAAAAAUUGGAAAGUGACACGACAAAGAGCUUGUGAAGAUGAAAGCAGCAAAAUUUGUUUUCUUUCUUCCCUGUCACUCUCUGAAUGGGAAGCAAGCAACGCCCAACUUUUGUCAUUAAGCAGAUAUAUAUAUGACAAAUAGAAGGACCAACAAUGCUUGGUUGCGUUCUCUCUUUCAUCUUCAGAAAGGUAUAGGUCUCAGAGCUCCAUCUCCCUGGCUUCUAGCUCUUCCUUUUCUUGCUCAACUUUAUCUCACGAUUAUGAGAGGAUUGACCUUAAAUCCACAAAGCACUUGUUAGAAUUCUGGACUUUUUAGCAAACAGGCACCACUUGGUCUUGGACUCUUUUAUUGUGUAUCCCAAUGGGCUUGGCCUGCUUUAAAGACUUGGGCUCAGACCCACAAUUUGUAAGUCCACACUUUACAUUCAAAAGGAAAAACGUAACCAGAAUUAAUUGAUAAAUAGUUUUUUUUUUUAAUUGCGUUAUUGCAGUGUUAAACCCUAAAAGAUAAAACUAAGAAAAAAAAAACUUUUAUUAAUUGAAAAAAUACUUCACUAGCACAUAUAUUUGUACCAUAUAUAUAAAUAACUCUUUUCUUUACCAAUUUUUAAUUAAAAAUAGAAGCAAAUAUUUAAUGAUUUAUAAAGGCAAUUUCAAAGAAUAGCUUUUACUUGGAUUUGGACUUUCUUUUACUAAUUUCUAUAAUUAACUAUCUAGUUUAGUAUUAUUAAAUCAUAAAUUCUUUUUUUUUUUUUUUGUUAAAAGAAAUUUCAUUUUCAAGAAUAUUCCCCUCAGGUAUUAAAAAGUAAAAGAAAUUUGUUAAUACUUAAAUCUUUUAAUCUAAGUUAUAUGAUUUCCAAGUUAACACUAUUCAUUGCUUGAAUUAAAAUAAAAAAUCUCAUUCAUUAUGAGCAAUCAAAGUAUGAUUUUUUUUAUUUUUCAUUAAUCAAAUAUAUGAACAAAUAAUUCUUUAUUACUAUUAUUAUUAUUAUUAAAAGAACUUUUUUGUCUUCUUUUUUCCAUAUGAGAUUAAUCUAAUUUAGUUAUUUAUAGUUAUCUCCUGUUUAAAAGCAGUUGAAUAUUCUUUUCAUGGAUAUAAUCCAUAAGCAUGUAAAACCUCUAUGCAAAAUGUAAAUGAUAUAUAAAUAUUGCAGUACGUAAUUAAUUAAUUUUAGUUAUUUUGAUAAUGAUGGAAUAUUGACAAGUUUAAGCCCAACAAUUUGAAUAUAGACAAAUAAUUAUUUCGAUGCUUCUCCCUUACAUUUUUUAUAAAUAAUUUUUCUAUCUGUUAAGUAAAAUGGGCUUUGAAGUGUAUAGUUCGUAAAUUGUGUUAAGAAAAUGGAUGGAACUUAGAUGGACACCUGUAAAAUUUGCACUUUUCACACUACGCGAGUCGGUUCCAAAUCCAUUUAAAAUUUCUUUUGAAAUACCCAUCAUGUAAAACUUUAAUAAUCACCCUCGCUCUAUUCCCAUUUAAUUAAUAUUCAAACUUGAUUUAAAUGAAUUAGGGUGGGUAGGAUAUUCACGAAAAUCCACUCUGCCUAUAUGUGCAGUACCACCAAGUCCAUUAUAGUUGAUGUUGGUUGAGACUUAAAAGAUGGAGAUGAAAAUAAAUUAUAGUUGCUUAAUAUUUUAUUUAAGUAAUUAAUUUUUUUAAUAUUUGAUAAUAUUAAGGUUUGGAGCUUUGAGCUUGGAUUUAAUUUAUUUUAAUUUUAGCCCAAUAAGAACUUAUAUUAACAAAUUAUAUAAUGAAUUUUGAUGGGUAGAGGAUAUCCGCAAAAUCAUACCCAAUUUAAACUCGUGAUGGGCAAUUAAUUUGAUACAUGUAAUUGUCUCAAACCCAUUUAAUCAAAUACCAAAACAUAUUCUAAAUGGAUUUUUGAGAUUCAGAUACCAUGAAAACCCGUCGCACUUCCAUCCAAUUCCAAGAUCUCGGAUCGAAUCGAUGCCUAGUUAAGAAGUAUGUUUAAACUAGAGCAUAACUAUAGUAUCAGCCGAAUACAUAUAUACAUCCUUAAUUUUUUUUUUUUUAAAUUUCAUAGCACCUUUAAAUUUUAUUUUGACCUAUUAAAACACUUCAAUUUAUAAAAUUUUAUCGAGUACUUUAACUUGUAGAAUUAUUUUAUUAAGUAUUAAUUACAUCAAUUAAACACAUAUUGGAUAGUUGAAAAAUGUAAAAAUUAUUGUUCUAAAAAUUCCGUUAACUACACAACAAGUUAAUAUUUUGAAUAUAAAAGCCCAAAUCCUUAGAACCAUCGUUGUUAGCAUGGAAACGUGUAUAUUGCCAUAAUAAAUUUACAAUUUCAAAUGCAUGAUAGAUUAUUCACAAAAUUAAUUUGGGGUGCUACAAAAAUAAAAUUACAAGGUUCGGGAAUAAAUUUACGUAUUUGGACCCUAAGUAUCUCUAGAACAUAUGCAUAUGAGCAUGUGAUACGCUAUCAUGUUUCAAGUGAUUCUCGGAGAUCAUAUCCUUCAACGAAGGAUUAGAUGAUGUAAGAUCAAUACAUAAAUGGAUCUUUCGAUAUUGUGAAUAUCUAAUGUUAAGAUUUGGCUGUCCAUUUUGCCCUAAUGCACGUUUUUCCUACACUAAAAAAAAAAAAAAAAAUAAUCCCUUCCCAUUUCAAAACAAACAAACAAAAGACACAAACACACCCUUCUUUGGACAUAAACCAAAUAUUAAAAAAAAAAAAAAAAAGGUCUUCUAGAAAAUCGUCUAUGAUUUUGGAGUAUAAUUCUAAUCAAAGUUAAAUUAAUAAUAAUAAGAAGAUCUUCAAAAAAAUACAUUUUUCCUCUCGUGAAAACCAAAUCUUAAUUUUCUGAAGUAAUUAGUCUGUUUUUUGAAUGAAAAUAAAUUAUAAGGUUAGUUAGUACUUAGUAUAUCGUAUUAGGAAUUCUAAUGACCAAUUGGUUUGAUAAAAAAUAGUUGACCAAAUUCAAAAAAUGGAUUGGUCCCAAGAUUUAUUUGACUAAAUUUAUAAUAUGCUAUAAUAAAUCUAUGGUUAAAUUUCAUACAUGAAAUAAAACUUAGUAAUAAACAACGUAAUUAAAUAGAAAUGAGAAAAAUUUAUAUCAUUUGGUUGUAUAAUUACAAAUAUGUAAUAAAAAUUUAUAUAAUUUGAUUGUACAUGUCAAGAAUAGAGAUAUUAAGUUCGAAUUCUUUCAAUUAUAUAAAUUUUAACUAAUUUAAUAAGCCAAUAGAAGAGCUACCUAGUUUGUGUAGCUCGGCUUAUUGAGACUUCCAAUAAAUUAAAAUAUUUUAAAAUUUAUAUUAAAAAGGUUUUUAUUUUUAUUUUUUGUUCUCUCACUUCUAUUAGUUUUAAUAAAAUUAAAAAAAAUAUAUAUUUUUCUAUAAAGUAAUAGUUUUAGUGAAAGAAUAAUUUAGUUUUUAUUGAUUAAUUUUCUAUUUUUCCUAAAUGUGAAAAGAAAAUACAGAAAAUCUUCUUUAACGAAUGAAACAUAACAAAAUGAGUAUCUUGGAAAAUAGUUAAGUAAUUGAAAGUUGAAGCGACCUAACCGUCGAGGGAUGUUGUAGUUGUAGUUCUAGGUGGCGAUUAGUUCCAAAGAUAUUGAAGAUCUCUAUAGCAUCCAUCAAUGCAGUAUUUACCUUACCUGACAGACACAACUACGGGCCGACACGUCAUUUCAUUUUAAUAAUUCAGACACACCUUCUUCUAUAUGUCUCUCAUCUAAUCAUCUUGUCACUUUCUCAGGUCACGUCGGUUAUUUUGCCGGCGGCUGGUUGCACGUGUGUCCACUAGUAAUCUUUUCUAUCGGGGUCCACGCACUUCAGAUUUAGUAGAUAACGAUCGGACGGUUCAAAAGGAAUUGGCUAUUGAGAUUUAAAACGUGGCAUUCGGUAAGGAACUGUGUCUAUAUGUCGGCAAAGUGAAUAGAAGCCGUAGUUGAAUAGAAGUUUUGCUCUUAGGGAACUUUAUGGCCUUUCUGGAAGAAAGAGGCCACUAUUGUAGGCUUAGAUGUCGCUUUGGGCCCCAGAAAAAGCCCUUAACGAAUUACUUUAAUUAAAUAAUAAAAUUGAUUAUUUUAAUAUCACCUGCUUCUAAUUUUAUUUUUUAGAUAUGCAAGUGAUUCUUAAAUUUUAUUCUAAUUGCAAUUAUAAAAGAAUAUCAGGGAAAACUUAACAAUACACAAGCUUUUUUUUCUUAUCAUCCUUAUAUAAAUUAGGAAUUUUUUGGAAAAUUUAUAUGCAUAACAUAAAUUUUAUUGGUUUCUGACGCUUGAAUUUUAAAUAUUAAAAUGAAAAAUAAAAAAUAAAAUAUAACAAAAUAAAAGAUAAUAAUAAAGAUAAAAACUACAAUUUUUUGAUCGGAUUAAAUUACUUCUUAAAUACUGUAAUAAAAAAAUUAAGCAGCAAUAACAACAACUAAAUUCAAUCGCUUCUUUAAAAACAACUUUAAUCUCAAAAUAAUUUGAGCCAACGAUAUGAAUCAUUUGUUUUAAGUAUACACUUUCAUCAUAUGCAAAAUAAAUUAUAAGUUGGAAAAAAUAUUUUAAACUACUCUAUCCAUUUCACUUUAAUAGUAAUAAAUGAACAUUUUUCCUUAUUCCAUUUUAAACGCUUAUUUAGAAUUUUGAGGGUAUAUUUUUUUCAAUUUUAUCCAUAUUUAUUAAUUGUUUUGUAGCAAAAUUAAAUAGGAGCUUUUAAACUAUUUCAUAUUGUAUAGCCCACAGUGUUAUUUUACCUCAUAAAAGCUUCUAGUGAAUUAAAAGAAAAUCGAGAGCUUUUAAUUUAAGUCGGGCAAUUUAGACAUUAUGCCAUAUAUUUUUAGAAAUCAAUUGUUUUUUUUUAUCCGUGUGAAAAUAUUAAAUGUUACUAUUAAAACGAAGGUCGCAUCUUUAAAAAAAAAUUUUUUGAAAAGAAAAUUUAAAGCAUUUGUUAUAUUAAUAAGUAAAACAAAGUACAACUAAUAACAAUUUUUUAUUUAUGUUUAAAUCAUUACAACAAGUUUAUUGAAAGAGAGAAUGUGAUUUAAAAAUUUUAGAGUUGAAUAAUCCGAUUUACGUAUCUCUCGUUCCGCCCUCCGACUUGUAAUUUUUGGAUGACAUGGCACAAAUUCCAACAAAAGAAACAAGGCAUGCAAAUUAAGCACGUCUACCAUUUGCCACUAAUAAGCAAGCAACAAAACACUGUCGUUUCAUUCGAGCACUAAACCGGUAAUCCAAAAAUAUGAAAAUCUGUAAAUUCAAUAAAAAAAUUCAAGAAAUUAAAUUAAAAAAUUUGAAAAAUAAAUAUAGAAAAUAAAUAUGAAAAAUCUACAAAUUCAAUCAAAAAUCUAGAAAUUAAACAUAGAAUCUAUAAACUAAAUAUAGAAAUUAAAUAUGAAAAUUUGGAAAUUAAACCAGAAAAUCUAAAAAUUAAAUAUAACAACAAUCGAUCAAAAAUCCGGAAAUUAAAUAUGGCGACUGUCAAUAAAAAGAAAAAGAAAACUAAAAUUUAUACUCCAUGAAAAUAAUACAGUGAGAUUUAGUAAGUAAUACAGUGAUUUUAUCCAUGAAAAUUAUGACGGAUUGCUACGAAAUAAUGCAUCGAAAAAUGAAAGAAAAAAGAAAAGGAAGAAAGAAAGAAAGACGUCAAUCAAUCAAAGAGGCACAAAUCAAGGAAAGGGGUAAUGAUUACAAUAGAAACACACACCCGCUUGCCAAUGCAUCAACAGCAAUUCCUUUGCUUUGUAAUCUACGUCCAUAACAAAAAUCUUCUUUUCCAAAAAACAUUUAGAAACAUUUUCUAAAAUUAUAUUUUUCCACGGAUUUAAUUAUAUUUCACUUAUUUAUUUAUUUAUUUCACUUGGAUAAAUUUCAAAACAUAUGACUAUAAAAGUUAAACAUGGUAUUAUAUUUAAUUUGAUACAUAAAUGAAUUAUAAGUUCAUUUAAAUCCAUGAUAAAGAAAAAAUAAUUAAAAAUAAAAAUAAGUAGUUAAACAUAAUUAAUAACUAAGAAAAUAUGUAAAAAAGAUAAAAAAGAAAAUGUUGAAAUAAAAUAGUGCCAACCGACAAGGAAAAAAUAAAUAAUUAAAAAUAAAAAUAAUCAGUUAUAAGUGAUUAAUAAAUAGAAAAUCUGCAAAAAAAAAAAAAAAGGAGAAAAUAAAAAGGAGAGUGCCAACCUAGCUUCUUGAAGUUUUUCUUUUUUUGUUUUUAUUUCCUAUUAAAGAGAUGAAUGUCACAGUAGAAAUUUAAACUUUCAUUUUGUUGACGUUGACAUAAAGAUUAAUGAUAAUUGAUAAAAGGUUCGAUUUGAAAAAUAUAGUUAUUAUUAAUAAAAAAACUUUAAAAUAAAGCAUAGAUUAUGGAUAAUAUAAUCUAAAAGGAUAAAGGUUUAUAAAUUCUUGAUAAAAUGAAAAUAAAUAAUUAAUAAAUAAAUAAUCUAUAAAAAAAGGAAAUACUUAGAUAGAGGAGUGCCGAUUGAGAAGGGAAAAUAAAUAAUUAAAAAUAAAAUUAAGUAGUUAAAAAUGAUUAAUGAAUAAAAAAAAAUGAAAUACCGAGAUAGGACAGUGUAGCUCAGCUUUUGAAGUUUUAUUAUUAUUAUUUUUUUGCUUUCAUAAUUAUACUGAUAUAUAGACAGAUUAGUGAAAUAGUUUUUUUAAUUUUUCUAAAAAGAAAAUCAAAAUUUAAAAUUAGGUGCGGGGUUUAAUAGAAUUGUUUAAAGUGUCAUUUUUUUUAAAUUUAGUACUAUGUGAUUAUAUGUCAUUGGUGUUAAUCAUGAUUCUAAUUUUUUUUUUUUUUUUUUAGUUACAUGAGAAAGCAAGAAAAAAAGGACUACCAAAUCAUGAUAAUGAGACUACUGAUCUUUUUUUUUUUAAUAAAAUAAAGAUACGGGCUAAAAAAUCGUCAUAAAUAAAAUAUAAAUUCAAAUUUAUGAAUAGAUAAUCUAAAAUUUUCUCAUGCAUUAUAGUUUAAUUUCAUAUGUCCAAAUUCUAAAAAUAAUUGUGCUUUAAUUUAUAAAUAAGCAUUUUAUUGUUAACUUAUUAAAUUAAACAAUUGAAAUUAUAUUUUAAUUUUAAAAUAUCAUAACAAAUAAUGACGCAUAAAUACUUUGUACACUGACUAAAAGGAGAUCAAUUUAUUUCAAAAUCAAAUUAAAAUUAUUAUUAAUGCAAAAUGAUUAAAAAUUUUUAAAAUGUCUUUUAAACUUUCAAAUUGUAGGCCUAACUAAAAACUGAGGGUUUACACGUGAGCUGCAUGCUUUAUAAUAAGAUAAAAGAACUGAAUAAAAUAUUAAAAAAAUAUAAAAUUUAUAUGUAAGUAAAUACGUGGACUUGAUUGUGAAUUUGUGAUAGGGAUGUAAUUUAAUUAUAUAUAUAUAUGAAACUGAACAGAUCAUAAAUUAAUAUUAAAAUUAAUAAAAUAAAUAAUAAUAGUAAUUGCUUUUAUUUGUUCCAAUUAGAAAGUUUUUCUUUUCUAAUUUAAACUUGACAUACAAUCCCUUCAUAAAUUAAUUUUUCUCUAAGUAUUACUCCACUUUUAUAAUUAAUAAUCAAAAAAAUCCAAACUUCUUUCAAAAAUAAAAUAAAAUAAAAAUUAUAAUAUUUUAAUUAAUUAAUAAUUAAAUAUUUUUGUUAAUUACAUUAAAAAUUAUUUAUUUUAUAUUUAAUUGAAUUAGACUUUUAAUCUUUACUGUAAAAUUAGAAUAAAAAGAUUUUUGAGUAAAUUAUACGAUGUAGCAUUAUUUCAAAAUUUUAUUCAAGGCACGGAUUUAUUUUGAAUAAUAAAAUAAUAAACAGAGAGUUGAAAUUGGAUAGCUGGAAUAUGUAAUGACCACUGAGAAACUAUCCACUGUUUCGCAUACAUCCAAGUAAACUGCACCUCAGAGAUUUUAUAGUACCUUUAAACAAGUUGACUCGCGUUCACGUGGCAAUGGAAAAAUUAUUGAUCCCAUCCCGUGAUUUAUGAUUUCAAGCACUCUGCCACGUGGGACACACUCAUCGUUUAUUUAGCAUACUGCGAAGCACAAUAUACAAGCUCCAUUUCUGUAAAUUUAUUAUUGCCACUGGGAUUUUAUCAAUUUUUUAUAAGUAUAAAAACUACCAUCCAAUCAUUCAUUUAUAUCAACCUUUUGUCUCUCUAUACAAAAUAAAUAAAAAAAAAUAAAACUAAUUUUUUAAUUCUAAAAUAAGAAUGUAAAUAACAAAAAGCCUAUUGCUUGUGCAAGGCGUCAUUGCUAGUUUGAGGGAUUUUUCUAUAUUUAAAGAAAUACUCACUUCGUUCUCAUUCCCAACCCUCUCCUAUCCUAUUUGUUCUCGGAGACCCAUCAUUUCAAUACAGAAAAACAAAGAAAGCAACAGGGAAAGAAAAGGAAAUAUGGAAGAGACCAAGUCAAGGUUUAAGAGAAUUUGUGUCUUUUGCGGUAGCAGUUCAGGCAAGAAAGCUAGCUACCAAGAUGCUGCUGUUGAGUUGGGCAAGGAACUGGUAACAAUAUACAUAUACAUAUACAUGUAUUAUCUACCUUUAUAUAUAUUUAAGUCAUUCAUUUCGAAAAGCACAAACGAAAAAUCCUAAUUUAAACCCAUUUGUGUUUUCUCAUUUUUCUUUCUGUUUCUGGGUUUUAGAAACCAAUACCCAAUUUUUAUUUUUUAUUUUUUUUAAAUUUCGGAUCCAUUAUUAAUGCAGAUUUUUCAGUUCCCAGUUUUAUGUUUUGGGGAUUUUUUUAAGAUUUAAUGUGAGGUUUCUUCAAAUGGGUAGUGCAAUGAAAUUCUGUUUUCAUUUUUCUUCUCUAAUUUUCUGCCAUUGAUCAUAAAGUGUUUGUUGUUUUGUCAAAUUAGUUAUUUUAAUUAUUUGAUUUCAAUUCUGAAGUGAUUUGCAAGUUGCAACAAACAAGGUCUGAACGUGGGCUUAUGAUUGUUUUUGGGUUAAUUAUGCUAUUAAGGGGGAGAGAGAAGAAGGUUUUAGGGUUUAUGUUUGGCAUGAAAGGAUGCUAGCUGUAACCUGCCUGUCAGUUGAGCAGACUUCUUGCAUGAUCCUUUGUUUUUUCUCCAAUUUUAAUUAAAACAUAUAAUAAAACCCAUUUUAAAAAUUUCCAUUAAAACAUAUAAUAACACCCAUUUUAAAACCCAUUAAAAAAAAAUUUCUUCACAACAAGAUUAAAAAAUUGCUUGCUUGUUUCUGGGGAACCAAACGUGCGAUCUUGGUAUCAUGACUUCUUAUAAGCAUGUUCUUGCACUUAUAAAGGACCAAAGCUCCAUAAUUUUUGUUUAUGGAGGUUUGCUUAUUUCAGUCAGUAUAAGGGGGACUUGCAGCUUAUUAUUACUGUCGUUGUCAUGUAACUCAUAACAGUAAUUUUUGUUGUGUUGGUGUUGAUGAUUGGAAUUCGUGACACUUGUUAAUGGGGUUUGGUUUUCGAUGAAUUUUCAAGGUGGACAGAAGGAUUGAUUUGGUCUAUGGAGGUGGGAGCGUGGGAUUGAUGGGUCUUGUUUCUCAAGCAGUUCAUGAUGGUGGGCGCCAUGUUCUAGGGUUAGUCUCUUUCUCUCUCUCACUCCCUAUUUUCUUUUUCUUAUUUGGUCUUUAUCUUGGAAUGUCAAGUAAUAAUAUUAUUAAGAAAAGAAAGAAGAGAAAAGGAUUGGUUUGUUUCAAAAGACAAGCAUCAUUUUUUCUCAUGAUGGUUACCUUCUCUCAAGGGAGUUUGAAAUGGGUUGUUUGUAUUCAUUAUUAUUAUUUUCUUUCUCACUUGUCUGAACCAACGCAAGUUUCCCAAUUUUCUAUGAAAAUGGAGUUUUCUCUUUUCAUUUCUCCAACCUGCUUAAUGGCAAACAUCAUGGGACCUUGCAGCAAUAAGUGAAUUCUGCAGUUUUUCUUUUUAAUUCCUUGCUUUAAAAAGUUGAUACUAAUUAGCUCUAACUGAUCAAUAGUAAUAAAAUGAAAUGUUUUUUAGAUGGUAAAAUUUCGUGUUCUAAUCCAAUUGUUAACCCCCUUAUAUAUUAGUGAUAAAUUGGCUUUGGAGUUACUUACAAGUCUUGAGAUUGUGAGUUUCAAUCCAAACUUAAUUAACCAAAAGAAAAAGAACAUGACCCUUCUAUGUUGAUGAUGAAUUAGCGUUUAUAGGGAGUCUGGACAGGUACCCUACCUUAAUGAUCAUUUUUUCAGGAACAUGGUCUAUGCUGCACAGUACAGUAUACUUAUCUAUAAGUGUUUGAUAGUUAAUGUUGAGGAAGGUAGUCUUUUAGUAGUCUGGGUAAAGCAAAAUCUGUUUUGGUCCUUGCAAUGUCAGUCCAAUACCGUGUCUUCCUGUUAAGAAAAAAGGAAGCUGAAAAGCUUUGUUAGAAAAGUAUGUAACCUUUAGGGCAGUGAUUAGAGACUAGAGUACUUUUCUUCUUUCUUUCUUUCCGAAUUAAAAAGAAAAAAAAAAAAGGUCGUGUUCAUGAAUAGUUUAAAAGGAUCACCACUAGACGCUUUAUCUUACAAGAGUAAAAAGACCCUCUUACCCUUUGUCAAAUUUUUUAUAUCAGUGCUUUCUUUUUCUAUUUCUCUUUCUUAUUACUUCAAGUAAAUGGCCUUUACUUAUAGUUUUUGAUUCUUUUGCAGGGUUAUUCCAAGGACACUAAUGCCUAGAGAGGUGAGUUGAUACAGUAGUAGUAAAGUGGGAAUUUUUUUGUGCCCUUUUAAUAUUAUAGCGUGCGAUAAUUAAUCUUUACUAGGGUGUAACUGCCUUUCCAUAGAAAGGGAGAUUACUUUUUGUGAUAGAUAACUGUAUGCCUAUUGCUGCAUUUAUUUUGCUUUGAGGACAAUAAUAAUGUAAUAAGCCCAUUUGAUUCUUUGUUUACAGGAUAAAUUGUUAAAAUAAUUUGUGGGAAUUUGUUUUAUUGAUUUGUUUUUUAGAAAAUUAUUAAAUUAACUUAGUGAUUAAUUAGUAACAUAAGAUAAUAUGGUUGCAGAUAAUCGGUCAGACUGUUGGAGAAGUGAGAGCCGUCUCUGAUAUGCAUCAAAGAAAAGCUGAGAUGGCACGUCAAGCUGAUGCCUUCAUUGCUCUUCCUGGUAAGGGUUUUGAAUUUCUUUCAUAAAUUUCUCUUUGUCGGGUCUUAGAUAUGAUCCAUAAAUCAUGAUUAUCGGUAAUUGACAAGUAAUUAUAUAUUAUAAUCAUCACAUGUUACCUUUAUAAUUACAGGGGGCUAUGGCACUCUUGAAGAAUUGCUUGAAGUCAUUACAUGGGCUCAGCUUGGCAUUCAUCGAAAACCUGUAAGACAUUUGUUCCUCUUGCUCCAUUUUUCUAUUUGUUGUGUUUAGGUUUUGAAGUGUUAUCUACAUGCCAGCUUCUUUUGACCAAAAAUGAAAAAUUUGCGAUAAAAAUUGAGUUAUAUACGAAAAAUAAUGACGAAAAAUCAAAUGUCAAAAACGGCAAAUAACAAAUUUCAAUUGAGAGAGAGACAUGUUGGAACACAUUAUGUUUUUCGGUUUUGGUUUAUUAAAAUUUAAUACCUUACAAAAACCUUUCUGAUAGAAGUACUAAUAUUGAUAUAACUAACUAAUUUUCUUCUAAAAUCAUAUGUUAAUGAUUGUACCAAAGGGACAAUGAUUGUCAUUUUAGGGUUCUUAAAAUCAGAACAAGAAACUCAUGAGAAGUCAACAAUCAAUGCUUUAAAGGUAGGUUUCCUAUUUUAUAGGAGAAAGUAAUUAAGAUCUUAAUUAUAGGAAUAAGAGAACUAGUAUAAAAUAAAUUUAGAAGAAGUUGUAAAAAUAAAGAAAAGGGCUUUGAGUGUGGUAGAGAGAAUCCUAAGUAACAACUAUGGCCAAUAUGUUCCCCGCAACCCACUUACUAUUUUUUUUUUUAAAAAAAAAAAGAAAGAAAAAGAAACUAUCUGAUUAAGGGAAUCAAAGACAAUAAAUAUAUGGGUUUGAUACUUUGAACAACCAAUUGUAUUGUAAUGGGCUCGUACAACUGAAUUUUAAAUGCUAUUUUCAAACCCUCUUACAGAAAAACAUUUAUGAUAGACUCCAAUUGUUGCAUAGACAUGAUGUCGUUAUUUGGUCUGAAAUUAGAACAAAUGUACAAAGUUCACACGUCAAUUAAAAUAUUUGUAGCUGGUCUCUAAAGCUAAAUGAAACAUGUUUGAUGUGUUGUGUUUCUUGAGUACAUAUUAGUGUUUCAUGUACUUAAAUGAAAAAUAUCUAGAUGUUCCCCUUUUUUUUUUUUUCUCUUGGUCAAUAAAUUUCAUCAAUCAAUCUUGUUAGAUAAUUAAGCUAGAAGCUUCAAAGAAUCAAAUCAUGUGGUAUUCACAUGGAAAGAUAACUUAAGAUAUGCUUUUCCAAUCAUAAUCAUGGUUCAUGAUUUGAAUUAAUUUAUUUAUUUAAAUCAUAUAUCUCCUUUGGAAUGGGAGAGAAAAAUUCUAAAGUAGACAUAAAAAAAAAAUGCAAAAAUCUCUGGUCAAAAGGAGGUGCUUGUUAGGUGAGUUACUUUACUAGUUGUUUAUCUGGAAUUCUAGAUGUUGAGACUUUGAUGUUGUAGUUUAAGCAAUGAUUAACCUUUAUUUUAAUUUUUUUUAACAACUUUUUUGCAGGUGGGUCUACUGAAUGUCGAUGGGUUCUAUAACUCGUUAUUGUCUUUCAUUGAUAAGGCCGUUGAUGAAGGCUUCAUAUCGCCAACUGCACGUCGUAUUAUUGUUUCGGCACCAACUGCCAAACAAUUGGUCAGGCAACUUGAGGUAAACAAUUUUUUCUUUUCAAAAUAUAUGUAGAUGCCUCUAUUCCCAUGUUUUCCCAUUUCUUUAUAAAAAUAAACUUUUAAGGCAUUGCGUAAUCAACUUAUAGCUUAAUAAUCGAGUGUUAUUAUGCAAUGAAAAUCGGCUUUAACGAGCUCUCGAUAUUUCAGAAAGAAAAAAAAUUAGUAUUUGAAUAAGAAAUAUUAACUUUUUAGUUUUUUUUUUGUAUGCAACAGGAAUACGAACCGGAAUAUGAUGAAUUAACAUCGAAGCUGGUGUGGGAGGAAGUUGAUAGACUAAAUUAUGUGCCUGGAUCAGGAGUAGCUACAUAGUAGCAAAGAGUGGUGAUUUUGAAGGGGGUUUUCUACUUUUGGCUAGUCAGUAUAUACCUUUUUGUUUAUAUAAUAUAUACAUAUACGGUAUAGAAUACCGUAGUAGUCGGAGCACAGGAAGGUAUUUCUUUUUUGUCUUUGUGGGGGUGGGAACAGAGCUAGUAAAAUGUCUCAAAUGUGUCUCAGUCAGACGUAUACAAUGUUUGAGGGGGAAGGAAAGGAAAAGAAAAGAAAAGAAAAGGUGCUCUUAACUUGCCCUUUUUGUGGAAACUGAGAAAGAAGGAAGGAAUCAGUUAAAUUAAAUUCAAAGCCUUUUAUGCUAAUUUGUUUUGUUAAUCCAAAAACAUUUAAUUAGAGGGCAGGAGGAGUUUGUAAAGUCAAAAUUGUCUAUUCCUUUUGAGUGGUCAUAUGGGUGACUAAAAUAUAUAAAUAUUCUUUCUUCUUCUUCUUCUUCUUCUUCUUAUUUAUUUAUUUAAUUAAAUAUACACAUUGGAAGAUGAAGAUCUUUCCUGGAAGCUGUCUGUCUUGUUUGUUCUUGUUAGACUUGGUCAAACUAUAAUGCAACAAUUAAGCAUUUCUUUGCAUUUUUUUUAAUUGCUGUUUAUUAAUUGGCUUGUAUGUUUUGGGAAAAACGACAGAAGAAUUAGAGUGAAGUUUUACUCUUUGCUCAAUUGAUCUGUGAAUGCUCAAUCGAACCGACCAGGCUGUGUUUAAUAAGCUACAAUGCAAUGUAAUUAAUAAUAUUUUUAGUAUAAUGUUUAAGUUAGUGUCUUUAAUUAUAUUAAAUUAUGUUUUUAUCAAACAUAAGAGUUGAAAGACAGAGUACUGUCUUAUUAUAAUUAAAUUCCUCCGUCCAUGACUUGUUAUGUCACUUUGCUAAAAAAGAAAAUUGCAUGGUCUGGUUUCUGCGUUUUGAUAGAGAAGCUUGAGAAUUUUCUAUCCCUUGUCUUUGUUGCCAAAUGGAAAUUUUUUUUUUUUUUACAAUCCAUUGAUGUAAAGAGAGAAAAAAGUAAUUUUUUUUUUAAAUACCUAAUGUUUCUCUUGAAAAAAGACUCCCAACGUACUAAAUACUUGAAGCAUAACAAUUGUAUCGAAUGCAUGCUUUGACUCAAAUCAAACGAUUCAAGAAAUUAGUUACAAAUUUCUUACCAUAGUUUUACAUUCUAAAGAAUUAGAAUAUAGUGAAAGAAAUUAAAUAUACUGGAAAAAUAAAGCAAUAGUGGGUAGAGCAUUUUAUUGAAAAUUACAUUAAAAAAUCAUGCAUGGAAAAUGUUUGGAAAUUUAAAGGAAAAAAAAAAAAAAAGACUUGAAAAGAUUGGCUUUAAAGUUGUUGUAGGUAGAGUCUUCUUUUGUGUCUUCAAAAUAAUUUUUUAUCUUUAUCUUUAUCUUGGUUUUUUUUUUUUUACGGAGAAAAAUUAUUCAAAUCAGAAUUUAUUGUCAUUGUCAAGAUAUACAUAUAUUUAUUACUAGACCGUGAUUUGUUGUAUUUGUCUUUAUCUGAGUUAAUUAUUAAAAUUAUUUUUUAGCUGUUUAAUUUAAAUUGUCCACAAGGUAAACAUGUAAUUAAUCCAAAUCAAAUAAUUUAUGGAUUUUAACUUAAAUUAAUCAAAUGACUUUAAAAAAAAUGCAAAUAUAGUAAACAAUUAAUAUAUUAAUUAACCAUUUCACGUUCAAAAAUUAAAAAUAUAUAUUAAAACAAAGGUAGAAAAGUAAACGAUAAAUAUUACGCUCUUCUUCCUAUUUUAUUUGCAUUAUUUGAUAAAACACGCAUAUUAAAAAUUUAGUCAUAAAAAUUAUUUUACCAUUUUUUACCCUUCAUUAAGAUAUUAAUAAAAAAUUUUCAUUUAAUGAAUGAUCAUAAAAAUUAUUAUGAGAAAAAUAAUUAUUUACGUAUAUAAAUUUAAAAAUCUUAUAAAUACUUUAAAGUAUAAAAAAAUAAUAAAUAAGUAAAACGAAGAGGGAGAGAGUAUUUUAUUUUAAAAAAAAUUCAACAAGAAUAUAGUAUAAAAGAAGUGAAAAAGGAAAGUCAACUUUGAGACUAAUUGAUAAAUAAUAACUAUAACAUAUAGUAAUCAUGAAUACGUGGUUGCCUAUUAUUGGUUGAAAGUGUUUCGCGCAUAACACAUGGAAACGAACUUUGGGUAAAUUAUUGCAACCUUCAACAAACACAGUACGCAUACAAUAUUCCAUUUUUCUGGGAAGAUUAUUAUAUAAUUAACCACCAUUUUAUAAUUACUUAUUCCCUUUGUUCCCUUAAAUUUCAGGGUUUUUGACUUUUCACAAGAAAUAAAAAAUUAUUUAAUUAUUAGAGAAAAAUAAAAAUAAUUGACUAAAUCAACUUUUAAUUAAUAUUCAUUUAAUUGAGACAAAAUUUAGUACAAUUAUCUAAAUAAAGUAAAAUUUAAAAUAAAAUAAUUAAUGUUUUUUUGAUUUUUUCUAAAAGUGUCACCUAAUUGAAAAAAAAAAAAAAGAAAUGUUAAAUUUAGAUGAAUUAGGGAAUAUUAAGCUGAAGGUGGUGUUCACACGUGAGUCACAUGCUUUGUUGUUAAUAGAGUUUAAUUUUGGUUUGUUUACUAAUUGAUUACUGUAAUCCAUCAAGAUUGUUAGCUUGUCAAACAAAUAUCUGGUCAGCAAAUCCAAUGCUCUUGAUUUUGUUUGAUUAAACUUAGAUUUGGGAUAUAAUCUACUACUCUAUUAAACUCCUAAACCUCCAGGUUUAUGGGGUGUAGAUUAUUUUGAUACUCAUCGAAUUUUUAAUCGUAAUCGUAAUCGUAAUGUUCGCUUGUUGGUGGGUCAAUUUUUUUAUUUGUUGCCGGAAGGAAACACUGACGUGUCUCAUUAAAAGAAAUGGAGUCUUCUUCAAGCCUUUGAAUCUCCUAUCUCACCUUAGGUACUGUUAAUUAAAAAUUAAAAAUGAGAUUAAAGGCAUAAAAAUAAUUACUUUUCUUGUAAACAAGAAUCUAAUUGGUUUUCAAUUUUCAAAAAAAAAAAAAAAAAAAAAUCUAAUUGUUUUGCACAUCAACGUCUACUUGAAUCAAGCUGAGUUAUAAUUUAUUAAUGUGUUAUACGAUAUUUUUUUAAUUAAAGAAAAUUCAUCUUGAAUAUAGCGAUUUUUUAAAUUUAACACUGCAUAUGAAAGUAAAGUCAUUCUCAACAUCAAACCAUUAUCUCAAGUUUAUACACCAAAAACAUAAAUUUAUAGUGAUAACCAAGAUUUGAUGUUAGGUGCUCAAAAAAAUUUUGAAAAAUUAAAAGGGCAAAGUAAAAAGUAAAAAAUUUCACUAAAUUAUAUAGCAAAUUAAGAAAAAGGGGGCAGAAGCCAAUUCGCCAUGUACUUUUGGUAAAACACACUAAAUUUUUUAAGGACCUAUUUUACAAUUGGUAAGAUUAUACAAUAAUCCAUGCUAGCAACAAGCAAUUUAAAUAUACAGUUAAUACGAUUUUUAAAAUAAUGAUUUUCACAUUUUAGUAUCGACUAAGUAUUUAAUUAAUUUAAAGUCGGAUUAUUUAAAGCAUCCAUUGGAUCAAAAUAAAAUUUUAGAAUACUACAUAAUUUUUCAUAAUAAAAAGCACAGGUAAAUUUAUACAUUUAGGCCCCGAGUUUGUACUUACUUGUGUGUCAAAGGUGAAUUCCUUUUUUGCCCUUUAAUUUUAACAAACCAAAAGUUGCCCCCCAAGAAAACAUCAUUCGAUUGUAUAUAGACUUUCAAUAUUAGCUGGAUUAUGUUUCAUACAAGCACGUAAUAAAUAAGAAACAAAGUGAAGCCAUUUUGUUUGCUGCAUUAAUUAAUUGACAAAAACAACCAAGUCGAGUUCUCUGCAAAGCACUUAUUCCGGAAACUGCUCAUCAAAGCUCUUUAACAAAAAUUACAUGAAAAUGGAAAAAAAAUUUACAUCUCCUAUCUGAA
rnacentral:lncRNA from 1 species